rnacentral:rRNA from 1 species
ACGCCUAACACAUGCAAGUCGAACGCAGUAGCAAUACUGAGUGGCAAACGGGUGAGUAUAAUGUGGGAAUCUGCCUUUUGGUUUGGAAUAACACGGGGAAACUUGUGCUAAUACCGAAUAAGCCCUUACGGGGAAAGUUUUAACGCCGAAAGAUGAGCCCGCACUUGAUUAGCUAGUUGGUAAGGUAAAAGCUUACCAAGGCAAUGAUCAAUAGCUGUUCUUAGAGGAAGACCAGCCACAUUGGGACUGAGACACGGCCCAGACUCCUACGGGAGGCAGCAGUGGGGAAUCUUGCACAAUGGGGGAAACCCUGAUGCAGCGAUGCCGCGUGAGUGAAGAAGGCCCUUGGGUUGUAAAACUCUUUCGUCGGGGAAGAAAAUGACUGUACCCGAAUAAGAAGGUCCGGCUAACUUCGUGCCAGCAGCCGCGGUAAUACGAAGGGACCUAGCGUAGUUCGGAAUUACUGGGCUUAAAGAGCUCGUAGGUGGUUAAAAAAGUUGAUGGUGAAAUCCCAAGGCUUAACCUUGGAACUGCCAUCAAAACUUUUUAGCUAGAGUGUGAUAGAGGUAAGUGGAAUUUCUAGUGUAGAGGUGAAAUUCGUAGAUAUUAGAAAGAACACCAAAUGCGAAGGCAACUUACUGGGUCACUACUGACACUGAGGAGCGAAAGCAUGGGUAGCGAAGAGGAUUAGAUACCCUCGUAGUCCAUGCCGUAAACGAUGUGUGCUAGACGUUGGAAAUAUAUUUUUCAGUGUCGCAGCGAAAGCAUUAAGCACACCGCCUGGGGAGUACGACCGC